GAUGAACGCUGGCGGCGUGCCUAAUACAUGCAAGUCGAGCGAACGGACGAGAAGCUUGCUUCUCUGAUGUUAGCGGCGGACGGGUGAGUAACACGUGGAUAACCUACCUAUAAGACUGGGAUAACUUCGGGAAACCGGAGCUAAUACCGGAUAAUAUUUUGAACCGCAUGGUUCAAAAGUGAAAGACGGUCUUGCUGUCACUUAUAGAUGGAUCCGCGCUGCAUUAGCUAGUUGGUAAGGUAACGGCUUACCAAGGCAACGAUGCAUAGCCGACCUGAGAGGGUGAUCGGCCACACUGGAACUGAGACACGGUCCAGACUCCUACGGGAGGCAGCAGUAGGGAAUCUUCCGCAAUGGGCGAAAGCCUGACGGAGCAACGCCGCGUGAGUGAUGAAGGUCUUCGGAUCGUAAAACUCUGUUAUUAGGGAAGAACAUAUGUGUAAGCAACUGUGCACAUCUUGACGGUACCUAAUCAGAAAGCCACGGCUAACUACGUG
rnacentral:rRNA from 1 species